CAGCACCGCCGGCCCUGCCUCCGGAAGAGAUGGGAUCUCUGACUCAGCCCUUCUGGGUUUUCCUCGACAGACACGAGGGCGCAUUCUGUGAGAAUGAACAGCGAAGCGACGCUCGUGGAGUCUUUUCAGAGACAACAACAACACGCAGCGUUAAACACAACAUGGGGCCUUAGAACUGUUUACCUGGAAUGUGGAAUGUUGCUGCCCCCCAAUAAACUAAGAGAGACAACAGCACGAUGAUGACAGGGUCGCUCCUUUGCUGGACUGAUGUUGCGUCAUCUGAUCUUGGCUAAGAAAAUCAUUAUAACAAGCCUGCCUUAUAGCUUGUUCUCGAGUGGAGCGGCGUUGCGUUAAAGUUGCCAUUCGGUGACGUUUUCCAACGAGAGGAGUGAGCGCGUUGAGAGACAUGAAGACGUUUGCGAAGAGGUGUCGGAUGCUGCUCCUUGCACAACGUCCUCAUCCCGCCCUCCCACUGGAGUCCGAUGACAAAGCGGGUUUAACCUCCCCGGCUGUGAGUGGCCGGGUUCAGCCUCUCAUUGCUCCGUGUGUAGGAGUUGACAGAAGGAGGACUGGACUUGGCUUUCCUCCAGCCGGACGAAUGCGUGACUGCGAUUAUGCAAUUAUUGUCGCUGCAUAUUAAACCAGAGCAUUGUUAAAACUCUCUG
ensembl:lncRNA